UACGUAGGGCGCAAGCGUUGUCCGGAAUUAUUGGGCGUAAAGAGCUCGUAGGCGGCCUGUUGCGUCCGCUGUGAAAUCCCGGGGCUCAACCCCGGGCCUGCAGUGGAUACGGGCUGGCUAGAGGCAGGCAGGGGAGAACGGAAUUCCUGGUGUAGCGGUGAAAUGCGCAGAUAUCAGGAGGAACACCGGUGGCGAAGGCGGUUCUCUGGGCCGAAACUGACGCUGAGGAGCGAAAGCGUGGGGAGCAAACAGG
rnacentral:rRNA from 1 species